AGCGAACGCUGGCGGCAGGCUUAACACAUGCAAGUCGAACGCCCCGCAAGGGGAGUGGCAGACGGGUGAGCAACACGUGGGAACGUACACUUUGGCUUGGAAUAACUUGGGGAAACUCAAGCUAAUACCGGAUAAGCCCGUAUGGGGAAAGGUUUACUGCCGAAGUAUCGGCACGGGUCUGAAUAGCUAGUUGGUGAGGUAAUGGCUCACCAAGGCGACGAUCAGUAGCUGGGCUGAGAGGAUGAUCAGCCACACUGGGACUGAGACACGGACCAGACUCCUACGGGAGGCAGCAGUGGGGAAUAUUGGACAAUGGGGGCAACCCUGAUCCAGCCAUGCCGCGUGAGUGAUGAAGGCCUUAGGGUUGUAAAGCUCUUUUACCCGGGACGAUAAUUACUGUACCGGGAGAAUAAGCCCCGGCUAACUUCGUGCCAGCCGCCGCGGUAA
rnacentral:rRNA from 1 species